AUGGAAAACAUGGUAUAAGUUCUUUUGCUCCACAUUUUUUUUUCCCUAAUAUUUUUCAUUGAUUGUCUUUUUUCCUAGUACUUUUCAUUGAUUUUUUUCCCUCAAUAUAAUAGAAAAUAUAAUUUUAUGAUAUAUGUUUCAUUUAAAGUUUUAAAAUUGUUAUACUUUUGUCAAAUUCUAUUAUGAAGUGCAACUAAUUUUUUGUCCUAUCUAGGGGUCAAAUAAAAUUCGAGGCAUAAUGUGGUACUCACCUAAACCAAUAGAGGUGAAAUUGCAAGCUAAUGCUUUCAAAAAUAUGAGAAAUCUCAAAUUUCUCUUAGUUAAGAAUGUACGAAUUUCUAAAGAGCUUAAAUAUCUCCCGAACGAGUUAAGAUUGCUUCAGUGGCCAGGAUAUGAUUUUCCCUUGCCAUUAGAAUUUUACCCUCACAAUCUUGCUGAGCUGAAUAUGCCGAAUAGUCGGAUUAGAUUGGAGAACCUAUUAAAACAGGUAUGAGUAUUAGUGCAUAUGAAUUUUGAUUUUUUUUUUUUUUUGAAAUGAUGAAUUUUGAUUUCUUUAAAUGUUAUUUUUAAAAUUUGUAGAAUUUUUUUUUUUUUUUCCCUGUAGGACCGCACGUUUGAAGAAUUGAAAAAUAUCAAUCUCUGUGGGUGUAAAGUCAUUACAAAAUUACCUUCCUUAUUAUGCGCCCCAAACUUAAAGAAUUUGGACAUGUCUGGUUGUGAAAAUUUAAUAGAGAUUGAUAAGUCGGUUGGAGAUCUUGAUAAGCUUGAAACGUGGAACCUCAGAAACUGCAGUAAACUUAAGAUUCUUCCAAGUGGGCCCAAGUUAAGAUCCCUAAAAUAUUUUCGUCUAAGUCACUGCGGAAGGCUUGAGAAGUUUCCUGCUAUUUGUGCCCCAAACUUAGAGUCAUUGGAAAUGAAUGAUUGUAAAAACUUAAUAGAGGUUCAUGAGUCAGUUGGAGAUCUUGAUAAGCUUAAAUCUUGGAACCUCGAAAGCUGCAUAAAACUUGAGAUUCUUCCAAGCCGCCUCCAGCUGAGAUCCCUUCAAACAUUGUUUCUGAGAGACUGCAGAAGGCUUGAGAAGUUUCCUGCUAUAUGUGCCCCAAACUUAGAGUUAUUGGAAAUGACUGAUUGUAAAAACUUAAUAGAGGUUCAUGAGUCAGUUGGAGAUCUUGAUAAGCUUAGAUGGUGGACCCUCAACGGCUGCAUAAAACUUGAGAUUCUUCCAAGCCGCCUCCAGCUGAGAUCCCUUGAAAGCUUGGAGCUAGAAAACUGCGGAAGGCUUGAGAAGUUUCCUGCUAUUUGUGCCCCAAACUUAUACGCAUUGGACAUUUCUUUUUGUAAAAACUUAAUAGAGGUUCAUGAGUCAGUUGGAGAUCUCGAUAAGCUUAUAUACUGGACCCUCGACAGCUGCAUAAAACUUGAGAUUCUUCCAAGCCGCCUCCAGCUGAGAUCCCUUCAAACAUUGUUUCUGAGAGACUGCAGAAGGCUUGAGAAGUUUCCUGCUAUAUGUGCCCCAAACUUAGAGUUAUUGGAAAUGACUGAUUGUAAAAACUUAAUAGAGGUUCAUGAGUCAGUUGGAGAUCUUGAUAAGCUUAGAUGGUGGACCCUCAACGGCUGCAUAAAACUUGAGAUUCUUCCAAGCCGCCUCCAGCUGAGAUCCCUUGAAAGCUUGGAGCUAGAAAACUGCGGAAGGCUUGAGAAGUUUCCUGCUAUUUGUGCCCCAAACUUAUACGCAUUGGACAUUUCUUUUUGUAAAAACUUAAUAGAGGUUCAUGAGUCAGUUGGAGAUCUCGAUAAGCUUAUAUACUGGACCCUCGACAGCUGCAUAAAACUUGAGAUUCUUCCAAGCCGCCUCCAGCUGAGAUCCCUUCAAACAUUGUUUCUGAGAGACUGCAGAAGGCUUGAGAAGUUUCCUGAUAUUCACCCAGAAAUGAAAUAUUUGCGGGGUUUAUUUGUGAAUAAUAGUGGUAUUAGAGAAUGGCCUUCAUCGUUCACGCAUCUCACCAAAGGGCUUCGAGCUUUUCCGCUAUCUAACAAAGAAAACCUUUGGAAUUUUCUGCAUAGCCGCAAUAAAUUGCAACUGCUCGAGGAAAUAGAUAUUCCCACUGCCAAUUCCUUUGAUGGCUUUUCGAGAUAUAGGUUUCUGAGCUUGACACAGCUGUGGCUCCACUCUUGGGAUGGAGAUAUAACUGAAUUAGAUUUUCAAUACUUCCCCCUAUUGAGUUAUCUUACUAUAUGUGAUUCCACUAUUAUUAGCAUUCCCCAAAGCAUUAGCGGAUUUGCUAGAUUAGAAUCUAUUCACAUAGAAAAUUGUAAGCGGCUUCGGGAAAUUCCAACGCUUCCACAGUCUGUAAGAGAAGUGUUUGUAAAGGAAUGCCCGUCGGUGGAUCCACAAUCAUUUAGCAGAUUAUUGAUUCAGGUGAGGUCUCUCCCCCUCUCCCUUUAUGUGUAGGUAAUAAAUAAUCAAAUUUUUUUUUCUACUUUUCUAAACUUCAAUUUCCUGUAUUUGCUUAAUGUAAACAGUUUGGAGAAAUUCUAGGGAUUUUACCGAAUAGAUUCCAUGAAGGUGCAAGAAGCAACAUAUCAAUGGAUCCCUUUCAUGACUCUGAAUCUGAAUCUGAAGAUGAAGAUAAAAUUCCGAGGGAAUUAAGACUACCAGUAACAGAGAUUCCAAAGGACUUAAAAUUCAGCCAUCAGACUUUUGGAAAUUCUUUAUCCUUCUGGGUUGGUAAAAAGUUUUCAAAAGCAGUCAUCUGUAUUGCUUUUCGAAUGUCGGAGGCACAUAUGUACGACGAUUAUGCUGUUGACAUUUCCGUCAAUGGGUGUUUUCGUCAUUGUCUAUAUAAAAAUUGGACAGAAGAGGAACUGUGGUUAUUUCCUAUAUGGCUUGGGCAAUUGGAUAAACGAUCUGAACAGAAUCACAUUACAGUUGAGGUUAAAUAUGACAGUGACAGUGAAGGUUAUUCUAGAUUUGAGCUAGAAUACGGCACUGAUUUGAUAAAAUGGAUGGGGGUCAAUCUAGAAUGCAGCUGCUAUCCUCAGAAUUCAGAUGUUACUUGCUUGCCGCUUCCGUGUGCUAUGAAUGGUUGUGGGUCUUCCUCGAUUCCGAAUGACACUGAGCUUCCGCCUUUCCUACCUUUUUCCUCCACUUCUUAUGCUUCAGAUUCAGAUCACAGGGUUCUUAACAAUGGAAGAAAUUACGUACUUGCUGGAACAGGACUCCAAAAGCGAAGAAGAAUUUGUCUCUGACGGCAAAGCCCAGCAGAGAGCGGAGCUCUAAACCUUGGAGAUGGAGCUCUUCUCUUAUUCAAUCUCUUCUUCAUUUUCCAAACAACACAUAAUUAUGAUGUUAGAGAAUAUCCUGGAAGACACAGUGGACCAUUCUUUGGGUGCCUCUCUCUCUCUCUCUCUCUCUCUCUCUCUCUCUCUCUCCAUUUAUUGGGAAAUCAUGAAUUUAAUUGUAACUAUGAUCUAUAAAAUAAAUUUUGAUUGUUUUAAUUUAUUUAUUGUAAUGCAGUUGUUUGGCCUCGUUGGAGCAUAAUCAUGUGCCAAGUAAGCUUACCUUCAAUGUUUUGAGACAGCUCAAGACCUCUGUUGUUGACAGUAAGGCCUAAUUUCUCCCUUUCUUAAUUUCAUGUUAUUCAAUUUGGCUUUCGUUUUUUCAUGUCCAUUUUUUGUUGCUUUGGUGAAUGCAAUGCUUAAUAUUGAAAUGUACUGGAAUCUAUGAUGGUUUUUAUAAUAUGCAUUUGCUAUGUAUGCUGAAUCUGUAUAUUGUUACUUUUUUACCAAAAACCGAAAUACUUGAGUUCAACUUGAAUGAAGAUUCAAGAUGAUAUUGAGGUUAUUAUAUAUAUAAGUUGGGUGAGCUGUAAGUCAACUUGAAGGAAUAGACUUAAUAAGAUCUCUUACUAUUUUUCCAAUCUUCUGUUUUGAUAGAUGAAUGUGGGGUUAUGGUAUGUAGAGUAUCACUGUAUUAUGAAGCAAAGAAAGCUAUCCUGAUUUCAUUUGUUUUGUUAUUAGUAUUAUUAUCAUAUUCAUUCUUCUUCCUUUUUAACAGCAUUUGGUAUGUAAUUGUUUAAUUUCCUUCAAUGUUUGAUUCCGUUUAAGGUGCAGUUGCAUUUUUCCUUCUAAUUAAAGAAUAAUAAAUAAUGCAGUGAGCAUGUUGUGAGUAGUACAUAGCGAGAUUAAAUCAUAUUUAGAAGAAACUGCUAAACCUUGCAGUUCUGUUCAUCUGGUGUAAAUCAGAUUGGGAGUAAAUAUGGACCAGAUUUCGUGAAGUGGUACAAAUUGACCUGGCAUUCAUAUAUUAUUUCUAACAUUCCCUUAUUAUUUUGUUGUCUUGCUUAGAUAACUAGACAUUCCACAUGAGAUAGGCUAUGAAAAUGAUGAAGGUGACAUGUUAUGUGUCUUCUGCAGGAUCUACCUUGCAAGUAGGAAUCAUCACUUGUUCGUUGAGUUUGAGUAUCCUUUCUCAAAGAGGCUUUAAGAAAAAUUUAAGUCUUGGGGUCUAAUAAAUUACCAGGUAUAUAUUAGCAUGCAUUAAGUGGUUUUGUGGGAUACAGAUAAGUUGAAGGGUAAAAGUUUUAUAUGCAUCAUAUGCAAACUUGCUUGGUCUAUAAUGUUUUAUCAUGUUUGGCUUCAAAGAAAUGCUCAUGUAUUCAGUGGCAAUGUCAAAUCUAAUGAGACUAUCCUCCUUAUGAGAAGAGUCAAAAUUUUGUUACUGAAUAGUCUUAUGUUAAUUGGAAAUUUCUUUAUUUUUUAUGAUAGCCAUAUUUGUGGGGUUCUAUAAUGCGUAUCUAUAGUUCUCCUUAUGAAUUUUUGCGUACUUCUUUUCUACAUCGUCAAACCAAGUACAACAAAAGCGUGCAUUUAAACCUGAAUUUGCUUGCAGCCAAACCUUGAUCUUCUAACUAAAAGUACUUUUUUUAUUUUUAUUUUAUUGAUCUCAUUGCUCCUAUGCUUACUAUUCUUUUCCAUUUUCUAUCUUUUCUAAUGUGGUUUUACUGUUGAGAACUUUUAGAUUUGGAUAGAAAGCAUAAGAAAAUGUAACUUUUGAGAAAUUUCCUGCAACAAUUAAGAAUCAUAUCCUUUACUAGUUAAAAGAAGGACGUGAAUGAGAUUUCUAUGUUCUGUGCAAUUAUAUAUAUUUUUUCAAGUUAUAUCGUUGUUUUUUAAUGUAUUCUGCAUUUAUGAUAUUAGAUUUAAUAUUAAGUAGAUUAGGUGUUUCAGGUUCAACUUUUAGACAUUAAAAUGCUUUAGAUCUAUAAAGGCAUGCUAGAUUAUGUAAUGCUUAUUGUUAUAAAAUCUUGAAAGGGCCUAUUCGUCUAAAGGAUUAUUUCUGCUGCUUCUUUUUUGGUUCAAGGGAGUUUCAGACCUCUUAGGCAUCACUGUACAGAAGUUGUUUUGCUGAUUCCCUGCCUUACUAAUCUCUUUAACCAAUUUUGUCUACCAUUUGAUAGCAUCUGAUAGCUACAAAAAUCCAUAUCUUUUUCCUUUUUUGUUUCCUAGGCCAACUUCAUCACUUAA
rnacentral:sRNA from 1 species